UACGGGGGGUGCUAACGUUGUCCGGAAUUACUGGGCGUAAAGAGUAUGUAGGUGGUUUGGUAAGUCAGCAAUUAAAGACCGUCGCUUAACGACGGGAGUGUUACUGAUACUGCCUGACUUGAGGAGAACAGGGGUACGCGGAACUUUCGGUGUAGGAGUGAAAUCCGUAGAUAUCGAAAGGAACACCAAUGGCGAAGGCAGCGUACUGGGUUCUACCUGACACUGAGAUACGAAAGCGUGGGGAGCAAACGGG
rnacentral:rRNA from 1 species